GCUCAGACACAAGAAGAAGAAGAGCCAACAGAAAGCUUCUGCCUGGAGGAACCAGUGCAAGAAGAACAAACUGGCACCAACACCAGCCAGGAAAGCCCAGAGGAAGAGGAUCUGGGAAAUGAGGAGGAGCCGGAGGAAAGUGCUCAGGAAGAACAAGUGAUUGAGCACGAGGGGGAGAAUUCCAUCAACUCCCCCCAACCACCAACCCAAUCCAUCAACUUCCUCCACUGUCAGGAAUCAUUUGGCACCAACAACUGCCAGGAAAGCCCAGAGGAAGAGGAUCUGGGAAAUGAGGAGGAGGAGCCGGAG